AGGUCCGGGUGUGAAGAAUGAAUUGUUAUGAGGAAACUGGUUAAUUGGAGAGGCGGUUUGUCAAACUUAGGAUAGGUUUUCUAAAUCGGUAGAAUGGUAAGAUGAUCCUCCAUGGCGAUUCUCCAUGCUUAUCUGCUAAUGCCGACCUUGUGUAACUGGAUCGACUACCUCGCCCUAAUUAAUACCAUCCUCAACCUUGAACUUGCACCUACCCUUGCUACUCUUCUUCACAGUCCAGAUUUUCCCUUUAAUAAAAUGCCGUUCGUCCAUCAGUGUUAUGUCAGUCUACCUUCUUCAGUUGGUCGAGUGGGUAGUUAAACAGAGCUCACUCGACCAAUUGCAGAUAGUAGACUUAAGCCUUUAGUUCUUUUACAUUUAGCUCUGUAGUUGAUGAAGUGCAGACGUUUACAAAUGACUUCAUUUGAUCAACUAUUAGUUAUAUUUGUAAAAGAACUAGUUAUUCGGUAGAUGAAUGAUGACACUGGCUCUCGUUUCCUCCCGAGUCAUGAUCGAGCUUUGGGAUUAAAUUAUUGGGUACCUAUGGGGAAAACUAAGGGAUACUUAUAACUGGGGACUACUUCUGCAUUCUUAUGAAGUAUUAUUUUUAAAAACAUGAAUUGUGUAUAAUCCAUGCCGGGUCUAGUUCUAAAGUACCGGAAAAAUCAGUUUAUCAAGCUUUACUUGAACAUUCAGGUCGUGUUUGUGAAAAAUGAAAUGAGCCUACCAUUUAAUUGGAUGGAUAAAUUAUUGACACUGGCUCUCGUUUCCUUCAAGUCAUGUCCGAGCUUUGGGGUUAAGUUUGGGUUGUAAGGCCCGUUUCAGACCUUACGACCGUUAAUACGAGUAAAAAUAAUGAAGUUGGACUUUCCAUCUAAAACAAUGAAAAAUAAGUUGUAGAUGAGGCCAGGGAAACAGUAGGGAUGUGGGUUUGAAAUAAAUCAGUGCAUUUCAUGCAGAAAGUAUUUGCCAAGGGGUCAUUGGAGGAAAUGGAAUUGUUAACAGUAUUUCCAACAACUGCAUCUACUGUGAAAUAUGAAAUUCAUUCAUUCUUGUGAAGGAUGACGCUUUGAAGUACAAUAAACACUGAAAAAAUAGUACAAGCAUACACUCACAAGAGACCACAGAGAAUAGUUAAGAGGAGUUUAACAGAGCGAUCGAAUUUUAAACUAUU